rnacentral:rRNA from 1 species
AGUGAACGCUGGCGGUAGGCCUAACACAUGCAAGUCGAACGGCAGCACAGUAAGAGCUUGCUCUUAAGGGUGGCGAGUGGCGGACGGGUGAGGAAUACAUCGGAAUCUACUUUUUCGUGGGGGAUAACGUAGGGAAACUUACGCUAAUACCGAAUACGACCUACGGGUGAAAGCAGGGGAGCUUCGGACCUUGCGCGAUUGAAUGAGCCGACGUCGGAUUAGCUAGUUGGCGGGGUAAGGGCCCACCAAGGCGACGAUCCGUAGCUGGUCUGAGAGGAUGAUCAGCCACACUGGAACUGAGACACGGUCCAGACUCCUACGGGAGGCAGCAGUGGGGAAUAUUGGACAAUGGGCGAAAGCCUGAUCCAGCCAUACCGCGUGAGUGAAGAAGGCCUUCGGGUUGUAAAGCCCUUUUGUUGGGAAAGAACAGCAGUAGGUUAAUACCCCGCUGUUCUGACGGUACCUAAAGAAUAAGCACCGGCUAACUUCGUG